UAGGGAAUCUUCGGCAAUGGACGAAAGUCUGACUGAGCAACGCCGCGUGAGUGAAGAAGGUUUUCGGAUCGUAAAACUCUGUUGUUAGAGAAGAACAAGGACGUUAGUAACUGAACGUCCCCUGACGGUAUCUAACCAGAAAGCCACGGCUAACUACGUGCCAGCAGCCUCGGUAAUACGUAGGUUGCAAGCGUUGUCCGGACUUAUUGGGCGUAAAGCGAGCGCAGGCGGUUUCUUAAGCCGGAUGUGAAAGCCCCCGGCUCAACCGGGGAGGGUCAUUGGAAACUGGGAGACUUGAGUGCAGAAGAGGAGAGUGGAAUUCCAAGUGUAGCGGUGAAAUGCGUAGAUAUAUGGAGGAACACCAGUGGAGAAGGAGGCUCUCUGGUCUGUAACUGACGCUGAGGCUCGAAAGCGUGGGGAGCAAACAGG
rnacentral:rRNA from 1 species